rnacentral:rRNA from 1 species
UACGGGGGGUGCAAGCGUUAAUCGGAAUUACUGGGCGUAAAGGGUGCGUAGGUGGUUAGAUAAGUUAAAUGUGAAAUACCUGGGCUUAACCUGGGAUGUGCAUUUGAUACUGUUUAGCUUGAGUAUGAGAGAGGGUAGUGGAAUUUCCGGUGUAGCGGUGAAAUGCGUAGAUAUCGGAAGGAACACCAGUGGCGAAGGCGGCUACCUGGCUUGAUACUGACACUGAGGCACGAAAGCGUGGGGAGCAAACAGG